AAAGUAUUUUAAAAGAGCAGUUGUAAACCGCAGGCAAGACGUUAAAGAUCACUGGUGCAAAAAAGGCCCCGUGACCCUGGCCUCCUCAAGGCCCCCAGUGGACGCUGCUGUCAAAAGAAUCCUCUGCUCAGAUCUCCCCUCUCCUUGUACUCCCCUCGCCCCCCGCCCCCCAAAACGGAUAGGGCCAGUUUCCAGACAACUGCUUGCAGAGAACUUGCAUGAUCAGGAAUGCGCAGAGAACGUUCCUAGGAAAGAACACAGGAACUGUGCCUGCAACCUCGAAGAGAGCAUGUUUAAUUUUUGCAAAGUGCUUCAGGAGAAUUUUCAAGUGCACACCAAGGAAUCAUUUCAUUCACACCGAAGCUUUCUAAGAAUGAAAAUUACCCAUGCAGCCGCACCAAAGUCUUUGGCAUAUAGGAGAUGGCUUUACUUCAUCCUGCUUUUCAGUGUAAUUCCAUUCCACAAGUAUUUAUUGGACGCACACUCUGCCACUCAGUGCCAGGCUCUGUGAUGGAUUCAAAAUCAAAAGCAGGGCUUCUGAUUAAGUCAUUUAUAAAUUGGCAGGCACUCACCAGGAGCACCACUAAGUUUUUGGACUGGAUGAUUCUUUACAGAUUGUCCUAUGCAUUGUGGGAUAUUAACCAGCAUUUAUGGCCCCUACCCACUUGUAGGGUAAGGUAAAAUGUCAGGCUUUUCUGCCCUCCCGCCAUCAGGAUAGAUGAUGGAUCCUGGAGGUCCCGAAUGCAUGCCUGAUGGUGGGCACCUGGAGUAGGGUGUGGGCAUAGGUAGAUGGGAUUCACCUGGGCUAAGACUGCUUAUAAGGGCGGCAUCACGGGGACGCCAGCAGAAGCCAAGAACGAGCAGAAGCCAAGAGAGAAGCAAGAGAAGCAGAAGCUGAGAGAAGGCCGGAGAACCCAGAUAGAGAAGACUUGCUGGGGCCUGCUGGCCCCCCAGCACCCCUGCCUGCUGUGUACUGGGUAAAUCCCAAUAAAAAGACCUGCAAAAAGCCACUAAGCACUCUGACUCCUCCUUUAUCCGGUCUGCUGGAUCCUAGAAAACCUGCACCAUGU